rnacentral:tRNA from 2 species
GCGGACAUAGUGUAGUGGUUAGCACGCAAGCUUCCCAAGCUUGCUACCCGGGUUCGAAUCCCGGUGUCCGCA